rnacentral:rRNA from 1 species
UACGGGGGGAGCAAGCGUUGUUCGGAUUUACUGGGCGUAAAGGGCGCGUAGGCGGUCAGUGCAAGUCAGUUGUGAAAUCUCCGGGCUUAACUCGGAAAGGUCAACUGAUACUGCUCGACUAGAGUGCGGAAGGGGCAACUGGAAUUCUUGGUGUAGCGGUGAAAUGCGUAGAUAUCAAGAGGAACACCUGCGGCGAAGGCGGGUUGCUGGGCCGACACUGACGCUGAUGCGCGAAAGCCAGGGGAGCAAACGGG